UUACGGUCACAUCCCGUUUGGAGCAGCGGUUCCCGUACGAUCACCGAAGUUAAGCAGUAUCGGGCCUGGUCAAUAACUAGAUGGGUAACCACUUGGGAAUACCAGGUACAGUAA